UGCGGGGUGGAGCAGUGGUAGCUCGUUGGGCUCAUAACCCAAAGGUCGUCGGUUCGAAUCCGGCCCCCGCUA
rnacentral:tRNA from 1 species